rfam:Rhodanobacter sp. C03 NODE_10_length_68661_cov_12.8239_ID_19, whole genome shotgun sequence.
UUCUUGAAGCGGGGGUGCCCGGCGAUUGCCGGGCUGAGAGAGUCCCUUGGAACCUGAUCCGGUUUGUACCGGCGUAGGGAGCUUGCUGAUCUGGCGC